AGUGUGUGUUCUGGAUCGAGCUCAGGGGCGACCAAGAAGGGUCAAACCCUAAUCAACACAAUUCCAUCAAACUGAAGGGGCAAAUCAAGUCCAAAUCAAAAUCCGAGUAUGAAUUAGUGAUCUCCAUUGAAAAAGGAGUCAUGAGGUGGAGGCUUGGAAAGGAAGCGGGUCAAACGAAGCAAGAAUGGCGGAAAAAGCAUAAUUCGGAUGCAAGGUAAGUAUAGCUUACACUAGUCUUAAAUUGUGGAAUGUUUUCUUAUCAUAUAAAUUAUGAAUGAGAUAUCUAAACAAUUGAAAUAUGAUGUUCCGUCGUGUAGUCGAACGGAACAAGAAAAUCAAAGAUGAUAGAAACCAUAAUAAUGGUUAAAAAGAAGUAAAUCGAUAAAUUGGUCAUAUUAUGUCGAAAGAAAUACACGGUUUAUAUUUAAAAUUACCGUACGGUGUUAAACGGGAAGAGUCAUGUAGAGGAGAUGAUAAUAAAUAUCAUUUCGCAAAGAUAAAUGGUCAAUUCGGCCAAACGGGUCAAAAGGUGUAGACAACACCUUUUGACAAUAUAGACUAAUGAUUCUUUUGUCGAGUCAUAUGCUUACAGGAAUAGAUAUCCAAUGGAUAUUCACAUCGUUCUAAAUUAGCGAAAUAAAGCAAGGUAUUAAAAUCGGGUCUAUUUGUUGAUCCGAGCCAGGUACGCUUAUUUAUGAUGUAUGUAAAAGUGCUAAUUUGGUCGAAUAAUUGGUGGUAGCCCUUCAUUGUAAAAGAAGGACCAAAAUCGACCAAAACGCCCUUGUAGGCUAAAUUGAACAAACAACUCUUAGAGGUUGUUUGGAAAGGAGUCUUAUGAUUAAACAAAAGUUUAGAACGAGUACGGGUAGUGAAAGAUGUAAUUCUUGGGCCAAAAGACUCCAUAUGAGUCUUUGCCGUAAAAUGAUAUUUCAAGAGGUAUAAAUUCGGAACACAUAGAUAUAUACUUUAAAUCCAACACACAUUUAGUUGUGAUGGAAGAGUACUAGAUAAGAGAUAUAGGUUACAAUGCUAGAUUAGAAUGAAAGCGAAAUUGAGCUUAAAAGUGCUUAAAAUUCCUUAACGGGUCAAAAUAAGCAUACUAGUGAAAACGGGUUUAAUUUGUGAAUAAACCUAUGAUUAGAACCUAAUAUGGUAUAUCACAAUUAUUUGAUGAAGUGUAUGAAAUAUAGGAAUCAAAUAAAUACGUUUGUUUGAUAAAAUGCAUAACCGGGUCAAAAUUUGGUAAAAAGGGUAAUAAGCCGAAGACUUAGAAGUCUUAAAUUUUGUUAAGCCGAAUGUCGGAUUUUAACUCCAAAUGAUGGAGAAUCAAAUUACAAACACGUAGGAAGAAACGGUAGGCCAAACGGACAAGCGGUUUGAAAGAUACGGAAGAUUUCGUGUCAAAUUACGGCAAAAAUGGAAAACUGGAUGCAGGGUCCACCGUAAAUUACGGUGCCACCGUAAUUUACGGUGGAGAUGAAAAGCCUUACGGUGGCCCCCUACUGGUUUAUGGUAGGGGCAUGUAAAACCAGUGGCCACCGUAAAUUACGGUGCCACCGUAAUUUACGGUGGAGGCCAGGUUGAAAUUUUUGUUUUUGUUAUCAAUUGUUUCUCGGACUCGUUUAGACACGUUUUAAGUCCUGUAUGACUAAAGCAUUUCAUGUUAUUGAAAUGUAGGUACUUUUGGAUGCCGGAAGACGAUCAAGCUCAGUGAAGAACCGAACACGAUAAAGACACACGCUUCCGCACUUUGACACAUAGUAAAUUUUAAACAACGAAUUUAAUCACGUUAUGUAGAAUAACUUAUGAUUUGUAAAAGUUUUAAUAAACCCGUAUUUUUAUAGCAUGUGUAGUCUUAACUACACAUCUAAUCGUUGGUAAUUACAUACAAAAUCGUUAAUUAGUAACUAGGGUGUUACAAAAAAUCACGCCCCACUACGGGUGGUCUUAUGAU
rnacentral:lncRNA from 1 species